rnacentral:tRNA from 1 species
GCGUUCAUAGCUCAGUUGGUUAGAGCACCACCUUGACAUGGUGGGGGUCGUUGGUUCGAGUCCAAUUGAACGCACUA